AUUGAACGCUAGCGGGAUGCUUUACACAUGCAAGUAGAACGGAGUGGCGGACGGGUGAGUAAUAUAUCGGAACGUGCCCAGAAGCGGGGGAUAACUACUCGAAAGAGUGGAUAACACCGCAUACUAUUGGCGCGGCCGAUAUCGGAUGAGCUAGUUGGGGGGGUAAAGGCUCACCAAGGCAACGAUCCGUAGCUGGUGUGAGAGGACGACCAGCCACACUGGGACUGAGACACGGCCCAGACGCCUACGGGAGGCAGCGGUGGGGAAUUUUGGACCAUGGGUGAAACCCUGAUCCAGCCAUCCCGCGUGUAUGAUGAAGGCCUUCGGGUUGUAAAGUACUUUUGGCAGAGAAGCGGUAUCUGCAGAAUAAGCACCGGCUAACUACGUGCCAGCAGCCGCGGUAAUAC
rnacentral:rRNA from 1 species